UUGAAAUAAACCUGAUGGGUUGUUGCUGGUUCUCUAGGGAGCAUGUGCACACCCACCAUCCUCAUCUCUCCACCUGUGCACCUCUUGUAGACUUGGAUUGACUUUCCGAGGCAACUCGGUUGGGAGGACUUGCUGGCGCUAGCUGGCUUUCCUUGCAUUUCCAAGUCUAUGUUUUUCAUAUACCCCAUUGAAUGUAACAGAAUGUAACAUUGGGCCCUCGUGCCUAUAAAAACUUAUA
rnacentral:misc_RNA from 1 species